rnacentral:lncRNA from 1 species
UCCCUUUCUCUGAGUCAAAGUAGUGUAGUUGUCCAUAGAAUCAAAAUCUCCAUGAAUCAUUUUGAAAGCAAUACAACAAGUACUUAUAUGAAAUGCAGCAAGAUAAUCAAUAUGUCUUGGACGUGUGGUCAGGAUACCAAUCACAAGUUAACUGUGGGUUUUUAUUAAGUAUGCAUGACAACAAAAGAAGGUACAUUUAACUCCUUCACAUUAUUGCCUUAGUAGAGUUAAGAGCUAAUUUACACCACUGAGACUCCCAGUGAUUCUGUCAAAGUUCAGAAAAAUGUCUUUAAAAAAGCCUAGAGUUUAAAAAAAAAAAAAAGAAAAAUAAGAAAAUAUAAAGUUAAUUUAGACAUAAAUUAUUAAACUGCAUUUAACCUCUUUUUCAUGGCUUAACCUUCAAAAAUUACCUUGCUGUAGGUCUACUGUAAUUUGUAUGUUCUGCCAUCAAAAAACACUUGGAAAUCGACUGCUUAAAUCUGUGGUACUUAACCCUGCUGCGAUGCACAUUGAACGGUAGAGGGCGCUACCCAGCCUAGAGACUGCAAAAUAGGACACAUUUUUGGGACUGGAGGAAUAUGCUUUUCUACUGUUUUGCCUCUGAAUCCCUUGAAAUUCUGAACGUGUCCACAUGGCUUAUCAAGUACACCAGAAGCUAACAAAAAGAUACCACCUUCUUUCUGAUGAUUAGCAAGAGCUACUUACAUUUUGCUGGAUUUUCUUCCCUUCACCAAAGGCUUAAAACCCAAGAGAGAGUUAACUUCGUCCCACCAGCCGUGACACUGGGAAAUAGAAUCUGCUUCAGCCCAUUUCUGCUACUUUUCCCCAUUUCGUUCGAGAUGGAAACCAAACCCUACAGGUGA